rnacentral:lncRNA from 1 species
CCAUUGGAACACAUCCUACUGCAUACAAGUGACGAUGGUUACCUGGUUAAUACUCUCAUAUGAAGCAGCCCACCUUGUCGAAACAUUGAGGUUUCUUUCAACAAAAUUCAGAAUUAAACAGAGCCUUAUCCAUGACCAUUUAUCGGUUAUCAAUCGGUAUCCAAUACAUCCAGUCAUAUUCCGUCAAUCAAAUUUUAUACGUUUGAAAUUUAUUGAACAAUUUUCUUCAGAAUUAUGUUUUCCGUAUAAAAUUGGACUUAACCUUUUCAGAACUGUUGUCCAUUUCAGUGGAUAUACAUUUCAAAAAUUCAUAACUAAAGUUUCACUCAUCCGAUUUUUCUUAAAAGAUGGGUUUUGUCAACAGUUCCAAUACCUAUCUGAAAAAAAAUAUAUUGAAGACUGUCCCUUCAUUUAAGUAUAUUUUCUAGUCAUAGAACUGGAGCUGAAGUAGACGAAAAAAGUUCUCGUUCUCGUUUCGAUUUUUAUGGGCUAUUUGAAAUUAAUUUUUUCACUGGAAAAAUAAUAUUUAUGUUUUUAGAAAAUUCUCAAGUGUUAUGAAAGAUAUAUAAUAAGCUCAGCACCUAUUAAUGCACAGUUGUAACCUUGAAAAACAUUACACCUCCACUGUAAUGGACAUGUGUAUAACUUUUGAUAUAGGUUUAAGGAAAAUCUAAAAAAAAUUAGAUAUAGUAGAAAAAUGAAAAUCGAAAUAUUAAAAACAAAUAAUUGCCACCGUUAGAUUUCAUUCAGUUCUGAAAGGGUUAAAUAGAAGACACUUACACAUUGAGUUGAGCUGAACGUAUUUAGACGUAGAACAUCGACGAUGAAGUAUUUAGUAAAUCAAGCAUAAAUGUAGUCCAAAUCCUAUCUUAAAGCAUCGAUCUUGCUAUGCCUCUCCUGAGAUCUUGAAUGAAUUCUUGAAAGAUGAAAUUAGUCAAAAUCAUUAUUACGUUGUAAAUUUAAGUCAAAUUUUGCAAUAAAAUGCCAAGGAAAAUUCUUAGGCAACAACCUAUGAUAAAAUACGUGUAAUAUAAUUCAAUGAUUUAGAUACACAUCUUCUCACCAGAAAUUCUUGGAUUUAUUCUAAAACAUAGAUCACAUGAUUUAAAAGGUGAUUUUUUUUUUUAAACUCCAUCUUGUUCCAAAAAGGAGUGAAACAAACUAAAAUUUGAAAAAUAUGAGAAAUGCUGACUAGAGAUUAGGUUUUUCUCUAUUCCUCAAAACAUCACGAUCACGGUGUUACAUUCUAAACCCCUUUUUGAUUAUUGCAAUACAAUUAGUCUACUUCCUUUUACUUACACCAAGGCUCAAUAUGCGCUUGAUGUAAUCUGUAAAGGGCCUAGCCGGGGUUGCAUAUGAAAUAUCCCCCUGAACCGAUGUGGAUUUACUAUACGCCACAUUUUAGGGCUACCUCCAAAACCUGGUUCACCCAAGUUUAAAACCUCUAUUUACAUUAUUACGCUGGAAACUCAGAAUAACGUGGAUUUCCGUUUUUUCGCGAUUACUACGCCAUUUUUACUGUAAAAAAUAUGAAAAAAAUUGGAGAUCUGGCGGAUAUCGAUGUACAUACUCCAGAAUUUUUUCGAAUUUUUUCGGACCAAAUUCGAGCUCUGAAAAAUCUUUUGAGGUUUAAGGCCGUCCUCUAGUUUCUCGGGUCGAAAAAAUCGAUUUUUUUUUUUUUUCAUAAAUCACAUCUACAACAUGUGUAGAAAAUGUGUGCCAAAGGAUUUUUCGAUAUUCGAAGUGGUUCACAAGUUACGGCCCUGGAACGGAGCAGGAGCGCGCGCCGGGCUGCUCCGAAAGCCGAGCGGCGCUGACCAUUGUAUUGAUAUCCCUAAAUCUAACUGCUACCUGAACCUUUUGUGAAUUAGGCCCGAGUAAAGGGGAGCCGAGACCAUUGACAGACGCUUUCGAAUAUUGACUAAGACGCCGUGAAGUUUUAGUUCAGUUUUGCUGUGACAGUUGCGAAGCGUACUAUAUUUUCUCUUGCGAGUCGCACGUAGCUGAUUUUUUGAAAAUAAUUUUCAAAAUGUUCAAGAAAGGAAGUAGAGACGCCCCGGCUCGUUACGAUGGACCUAAAAAGCGAAAAUUCGCAGGCAACCGACACACUUUUGAACAAGACAAGUCGUUUACAUCGGCGUCAGCGACGAAACUUCGUCAAAAUAAAAAUUUUGAAGUGAACGUUGAACAGACUGUUUUGUAUUGUAUUUUGAAUUUUGUGAGUGUAUUUUCAACCAUUUCUUCGGCUGUUAUUUGUAAAGAGUGCAAAAGUACGGUGACUUUCCAUCAACGUGAUAUACGAGGAUUGGGCUUUAAAAUUUCUGUGGCGUGCAAGUGUGAGAAAGAAAAGAAAUAGAUUCAUGCCCAAAAAUCUGGACUUUUGCUCCGAAGCACCUCCAUUCUGGGCCAAAAGUGGUUGAAAUCGCCACGUUUCUCGCUGUCAUAAUCUUCAACGAAGGAUUCGAAGCUAUCCUGAAAACCUUGGAAACCAUGGGAGUGAAAAUCGGCCCACAAGCUAAAGGAUAUGUUCAACAGCGUGAUAGCUCUCGGAUCGACCGUUCAGAAAGGCGCACGAGCGAUGUUGUAAAACAGGCCCGAAUCACGAAAAGAGAAGACAGAGCAGCUCUGCGUGACUUCGAAGAAGAAGAGGAAGGCCUAUUGUAUGGUCCAGGCAUCGCAGAUUGACGAUAAGCAGAACAGCCGCAAUCUUGGUUACCGUCAAGCACCUCUUUUACUUGAUGUCUUCCUGUCGGCCACUAUAACUGCUAUUCUAUUAUAUAUUUUGACUUCAAAAAAUUUGUAAAGCUUAUUUAAAUGUUAAUAAAGAUUAUGCAAAAAUAA